rnacentral:rRNA from 1 species
GACGAACGCUGGCGGCGUGCCUAAUACAUGCAAGUCGAACGGUCUUUUCUAUGGAAGCUUGCUUCCACUGAGAAGAUAGUGGCGAACGGGUGAGUAACACGUGGGUAACCUGCCCAUAAGAGGGGGAUAACAUCCGGAAACGGGUGCUAAUACCGCAUAGUUUUCUUGAUCGCAUGAUUGAGAAAGGAAAGACGGCCUUUGUGCUGUCGCUUAUGGAUGGACCCGCGGCGUAUUAGUUAGUUGGUGAGGUAACGGCUCACCAAGACGAUGAUACGUAGCCGACCUGAGAGGGUGAUCGGCCACAUUGGGACUGAGACACGGCCCAAACUCCUACGGGAGGCAGCAGUAGGGAAUCUUCCGCAAUGGACGAAAGUCUGACGGAGCAACGCCGCGUGAGUGAAGAAGGUUUUCGGAUCGUAAAACUCUGUUGUCAGAGAAGAACAAGUUGGAGAGUAACUGCUCCAGCCUUGACGGUAUCUGACCAGAAAGCCACGGCUAACUACG